ACGUAAGACGUCCAGGAAGGUGCUGAUGGCUCUCGGCUGGGUGAGGGUAGAGAAGGUUUCCAAGGCGCCCUCGGGCCUCGCGGGCUCAGGGCCCACGCAGUUCUCUCUGGUGGCACUGGGGGGCGAUGUGGAGCGUCCCACAGCGCACCUACGCCCCGGAGGCUCAUGGGCGUUGUAGUUCCCAGGGCGGCGAGCUGUGCUGGAGCUUAGCGUGGGAGGGCGAGGCCAGGUCUGGAGGCACGGUCCCGUCCUCCUUGAGGCAGAAGCGGCUGUCCCGGCGUGGAUGACUCCGGAACGUCCUGGCCCCGAACCCCCUGGAGUGCGACCCACUGCGCGGGUCUGGCGACAGAUCUGGCGGCCGUGUGUCGCGGCUGGAGGAACAGUGCCUAAUGCUUAGGUGAAGAAGUAUUUGUUGAAGGAAGAAUUUGUUGAAUAAUUUCAGUUGAGCAUUCAGUUAAGCAUUGUGUUGGGCUUAAGUUUCUCGAUGUUUUCAAUGGAAGGCAAAUUUUGUAUUCACAUUCAUUUAAAAAUAAAGGAUUAUGAAGCCGGUAGAAUGUAAGCUUGGAAUUCUGGUGGCCAUCUUGCUAUCUAUGAGGGGAAAACCUGCCUGAGAAGGAAGACAGUCCAGAGGAAAGCAGAGCUAAGAGACAGCAAGUUCAGAUGGACAUCGUUUGAGCCUGUGGCUCCAGCCAUGCCUAACAUCAUUCUACCUCUGAUUUUUAAAUUCUGUAAACCAAUAAACUCCCCCUCUUUUCAUGUUUAAACUACCUUAAAUGGGGUGGAGGGGGGGGUGUUCCUAUUACUUGUAACUGAAAGCAUCCUGAGUAUUACAUCCCCUGUUCGUAAGGAGGAAGAAGUGUUUUCCCUUUCAUGUUAAUACCUUGGCUUAACCUGGGCCCUGGAUCCAUCCUUCCCACCUUCCCCAAACUUCACUCCUUCAAUUACCAUCCUUUCUACUGGCUCCUUUCCCCUAGGACUUCAGGUAUAAUCAGGUUUCCCUCAGGAUUGAAACAAACAAACAAACCUUUCCACCCUCUAAAAUUGCAGCCCUCCAGUAUCUCUCUCCUUCCCUUUUUGGCCAAACUGUAGGGCAGCUCUCAGCAUUCCUCCUCCCACUUGUUCACCUUCCAUUCAUUCCUCAGUCCACUACCAUUGGCUUCUGCUUCCUUUUCACUUCCCUAAAGAUACUCUCAACAAAGUCACCAAGCAAUCUAAGUCAAUAUAUUCUAUAGGAGACGAUGGCAGUGCCCAGUACCAUGGAUCCCUCUUUAUCAUUUGUGUGUGAAGUGUUUGCCCAGUCCCCUCCCCACACCACACACACACACACACACACACACACACACACACACACACACACACACACACACCAUGGAUCCCUCUUUAUCAUUUGUGUGUGAAGUGUUUGCCCAAUCCCCUCCCCACACCACACACACACACACACACACACACAC